GCUGUUUGAGGUGGUAAAUUUCGUGGAGGCCACGCGCUGACGGUAUGACAGGGGAAACCCGAGAGAUGCAGGAGAACGCCACGCCUGCCGGACAGU
rnacentral:ncRNA from 12 species